UACGGAGGGAGCUAGCGUUGUUCGGAUAUACUGGGCGUAAAGCGCACGUAGGCGGCGCCGUAAGUCAGGGGUGAAAUCCCGGAGCUCAACUCCGGAACUGCCCUUGAAACUGCAGUGCUAGAAUUCUGGAGAGGCGAGUGGAAUUCCGAGUGUAGAGGUGAAAUUCGUAGAUAUUCGGAAGAACACCAGUGGCGAAGGCGACUUACUGGACAUGUAUUGACGCUGAGGUGCGAAAGCGUGGGGAGCAAACAGG
rnacentral:rRNA from 1 species